rnacentral:lncRNA from 10 species
AGGGAAGCCUGAUGCCUGAUGCCUUCAACAAGACAGGCAUUGCAUCUCAACUUUGGAUUUGUUUCUUUGCUGUCCCGCCUAUCUUCCACCUGGGGAGUGCUUUACCUGGGGCUUAUUUCCUUUGUCAUGUUCCAGCCGGGGAAGUGAUGGGAGUUUUCUGACUUCAUAACCUGGGGCGUCUUUUGUUUGAGAACACAGUUGUAGGCUCUAGCCCACUUUUGGAGCUGAGAUUUAAAUGCAGUGGUGUGUGGCAUAAUUAUGUUUUGGUCAACAAUGGAGCACGUAUACCAUGGUGGUGCCUUAACGUAAUGGAGAUGCCCUAUACAGGUGUACCAGUUU